rnacentral:rRNA from 1 species
UACGAAGGGGGCUAGCGUUGCUCGGAAUUACUGGGCGUAAAGGGCGCGUAGGCGGGUAGUUUAGUCAGAGGUGAAAGCCCAGGGCUCAACCUUGGAAUUGCCUUUGAUACUGGCUAUCUUGAGUUCGGGAGAGGUGAGUGGAAUGCCGAGUGUAGAGGUGAAAUUCGUAGAUAUUCGGCGGAACACCAGUGGCGAAGGCGACUCACUGGCCCGAUACUGACGCUGAGGCGCGAAAGCGUGGGGAGCAAACAGG